UACGGGGGGGGCAAGCGUUGUUCGGAAUUACUGGGCGUAAAGGGUCUGUAGGCGGCCAACUCAGUCGGACGUGAAAUCCCUCGGCUCAACCGGGGAACUGCGUCCGAUACUGGAUGGCUUGAAUCCGGGAGAGGGAUGCGGAAUUCCAGGUGUAGCGGUGAAAUGCGUAGAUAUCUGGAGGAACACCGGUGGCGAAGGCGGCAUCCUGGACCGGUAUUGACGCUGAGAGACGAAAGCCAGGGG
rnacentral:rRNA from 1 species